GAAUGCAGAUUUGCCUGCAGAGUACCUUACAACCUGCCCUCCCUACAUGUAUGUGGGCCUGGAUGUCUUCGGACCCUGGGACGUCUCCACUAGAUGCACCAGAGGGACGCCACCUAAGAGCAAGUGCUGGGCCAUACAAUUCUGCUGCAUGAGCUCCAGAGCAGUUCACAUCUAGAUGAUUACCUUACUGGACAUCUCAAGUUGCAUAAACGCGUUGAGGCGUUUCUUUGCCAUUAAAGGAGAAGCCAAACAACUGAGGUCCGAUUGCGGCACAAAUUUCAUUGGAGCCUGCAAAGAACUUGGGCUGAGUGCACAUCAACCAAACAGCACGGUGCACCGGUACCUGCACCAACAAGGAUGCUCCUGGGUGUUUAACCUGCCUCAUGCUUCACACAUGGGGGGUUCAUGGAAGCGACUCAUUGGGGUAGCCCGAUGAAUCCUUGAUUCAAUGCUCCGUGAUCACAGCACUCGCCUAACUCAUGAAGUUUUGUGUAUACUAAUGGCAGAAGUGACAGCAAUUCUGAAUGCAAGACCACUAGUUCCAGUAUAAAGUGAUCCAGACAAUCCAUUCAUCCUCACACCAUCAAUGCUGUUAACACAGAAAGUCGGCAUCCCACCACCUCCAGGAGACUUCACAGACAGAGACAUUCUCACGAGGCAGUGGAGACAAGUACAGGCCUUAUCCAACUUGUUCUGGAACCAUUGGAGACAAGUGUACCUGUCAAAAUUACAAAGCUGCAAGAGAUGGACAGAGUCCUACCAGAACCUGCAAGACGGUUACAUCGUCCUCCUCAAAGACAACCAAGCUGCCCGCAACAACUGGCGUUUGGCGGUGGUCAUAAAGGCUAUUCCAGGAACAGAUGGACGAGUCCGUAAGGUGGUAUUAAAGACAGCAAACCAAGGACAGGCAAAUACUUACCUUAGACCAGUGACUGAAACAGUUUCACUCCUUCGUAAGGACCAAUGUUUCAAUCGUAGUUCUCAGUUGAGUUUAAUGUCAUGUCAGUGUAGUGACCUCACAGUGGUCAGGCAGGAAGUGUGUCGCCAUAAAAGCAGUAUGUAGAUUGUAUAUCUAUUUUGAUAUAAUUUCCUUUCAUAAAGGCAGUAUGUAAAUGCUUUUAUUUUGAUAUCAUUUCCUGUAACUUACCUACCCCUUCUUGCUGCGUUACGUCCUGCCUGUUUUCUAUCUGUUCAAAAAGAGUUUCAACAAACUAAUUUCUGACCGUGAGGGAAGCUAGAAAAAAAGUCUUUUCUCUCUUCCAUCUUGCUGAUGGAACCAGGGAAAACAACGUGGCAUUGAGGAGAGGAGACGCCAAGGUAUUCUUUAAGGACAAGAAAGGAAGAUGCGUUGGUGUCACGUUGAAGAAAGCCUUAUACAUACCAACAUACCCUGAAAGCAUCAUCUCUGUAAAACCAGUUACGAGUGAUGGAGCCAAAGUAACAUUUGAAGAAGGACGAAACGAACUGAUGACCAAGGAUGGAACAGUCUUCAGCAUUGCGGAACAGUAACGACUAUACUACGUGAGCACGAAUGAACCGACCCACACAGCGACCAGCGCUUGGACCCCCCUCCACCACCAGUCCAGGCGGCGUGGAUCCAGCGGCC